AGUGAACGCUGGCGGUAGGCCUAACGCAUGCAAGUCGAACGGCAGCACAGUAAGAGCUUGCUCUUACGGGUGGCGAGUGGCGGACGGGUGAGGAAUACAUCGGAAUCUACUUUUUCGUGGGGGAUAACGUAGGGAAACUUACGCUAAUACCGCAUACGACCUACGGGUGAAAGCAGGGGAUCUUCGGACCUUGCGCGAUUGAAUGAGCCGAUGUCGGAUUAGCUAGUUGGCGGGGUAAAGGCCCACCAAGGCGACGAUCCGUAGCUGGUCUGAGAGGAUGAUCAGCCACACUGGAACUGAGACACGGUCCAGACUCCUACGGGAGGCAGCAGUGGGGAAUAUUGGACAAUGGGCGCAAGCCUGAUCCAGCCAUACCGCGUGGGUGAAGAAGGCCUUCGGGUUGUAAAGCCCUUUUGUUGGGAAAGAAAAGCAGCAGGUUAAUACCCCGCUGUUCUGGCGGUACCCAAAGAAUAAGCACCGGCUAACUUCGUG
rnacentral:rRNA from 1 species